UCCAGCCAUGCCGCGUGGGUGAAGAAGGCCUUAGGGUUGUAAAACCCUUUCAGCGGGGAAGAUGAUGACGGUACCCGCAGAAGAAGCCCCGGCUAACUCCGUGCCAGCAGCCGCGGUAACACGGAGGGGGCUAGCGUUGUUCGGAAUUACUGGGCGUAAAGGGCGUGUAGGCGGUUUGCCGAGUCAGGCGUGAAAGCCCCGGGCUUAACCUGGGAACUGCGCUUGAUACUGGCAGGCUAGAGGUUGGAAGAGGAGAGUGGAAUUCCCAGUGUAGAGGUGAAAUUCGUAGAUAUUGGGAAGAACACCAGUGGCGAAGGCGGCUCUCUGGUCCACACCUGACGCUGAGGAGCGAAAGCGUGGGGAGCGAACAGGCUUAGAUACCCUGGUAGUCCACGCUGUAAACGGUGGGUACUAGGUGUGGGGUCCAUUCCACGGGUUCCGUGCCGUAGCUAACGCUUUAAGUACCCCGCCUGGGGAGUACGGCCGCAAGGCUAAAACUCAAAGGAAUUGACGGGGCCCCGCACAAGCGGCGGAGCAUGCGGAUUAAUUCGAUGCAACGCGUAGAACCUUACCUGGGUUUGACAUGGAUCGGGAGUGCUCAGAGAUGGGUGUGCCUCUUUUGGGGUCGGUUCACAGGUGGUGCAUGGCUGUCGUCAGCUCGUGUCGUGAGAUGUUGGGUUAAGUCCCGCAACGAGCGCAACCCUUGUUCACUGUUGCCAG
rnacentral:rRNA from 1 species